rnacentral:rRNA from 1 species
GAUGAACGCUGGCGGCGUGCCUAAUACAUGCAAGUCGAGCGAACAGACGAGGAGCUUGCUCCUCUGACGUUAGCGGCGGACGGGUGAGUAACACGUGGAUAACCUACCUAUAAGACUGGGAUAACUUCGGGAAACCGGAGAUAAUACCGGAUAAUAUAUUGAACCGCAUGGUUCAAUAGUGAAAGUCGGUUUUGCUGUCACUUCUCGAUGUAUCCGCGCCGCAUUAGAUAGUUGGUAAGGUAACGGCUUACCAAGGCGACGAUGGGUAGCCGACCUGAGAGGGGGAUCGGCCACACUGGAACUGGGACACGGUCCAGACGCCUACGGGAGGCAGCAGUAGGGAAUCUUACGCAAUGGGCGAAAGCCUGACGGAGCAACGCCGCGUGAGUGAUGAAGGUCUUCGGAGCGUAAAGCUCUGUUAUUAGGUAAGAACAAAUGUGUAAGUAACUAUGCACGUCUUGACGGUACCUAAUCAGAAAGCCACGGCUAACUACGUG